UGUAACAAAAGUGCAUGAAAAUUGUGUAUUUCAUUUUUUCAUAGAUCUUGCUAACAUUUAAUUUCACAUUCGAGUAUUUUUCAAAAGCAUUGAGAAAAAAAAGAAAAACUAGCCUAUAAAUUGCUCCAAUGGCAGGAAGUCUCGCCCUCGUAUGUUCUAUUAGGUAGCACGAUAGGUUGUAGAACACAAUUGAACGGUGACGCAGACAGACAGAACUUCCUAAAAGGCGAGCAAAGACAAACCCUGAACAGGAGCUUAUCAACGGAAAAGAAAACCCUGGCCAUGGCAAUGACGGUGACCCAUACUGACAUGAGGGAGCCGAGGAAAUCGCAGAACUGGAGAACGUCGUACUCCAUGAUGCAAAAGACCACGAUGCCAGUGAACGGCCGGGUCGCACGGCCAGGGUACCGGCGGAAUGAUGCCAGGCGGCGGACGACUGAGCAGAACAACCGAGAGGACGCCCGGGAUGCCAGGCGCUGG